rnacentral:rRNA from 1 species
CCUACGGGAGGCAGCAGUGGGGAAUAUUGGACAAUGGGGGAAACCCUGAUCCAGCGACGCCGCGUGAGUGAAGAAGUAUUUCGGUACGUAAAGCUCUAUCAGCAGGAAAGAAAAUGACGGUACCUGACUAAGAAGCCCCGGCUAACUACGUGCCAGCAGCCGCGGUAAUACGUAGGGGGCAAGCGUUAUCCGGAUUUACUGGGUGUAAAGGGAGCGUAGACGGCGGAACAAGUCAGAAGUGAAAACCCGGGGCUCAACCCUGGGAGUGCUUUUGAAACUGUUUGGCUGGAGUGCAGGAGAGGUAAGCGGAAUUCCUAGUGUAGCGGUGAAAUGCGUAGAUAUUAGGAGGAACACCAGUGGCGAAGGCGGCUUACUGGACUGUAACUGACGUUGAGGCUCGAAAGCGUGGGGAGCAAACAGGAUUAGAUACCCCGGUAGUC